GGUCAGCGAUGAGCGUCGGCACGUAUUAUCUGCUCCGGAGCCGAUGUCUGUCGCCACUUUAGCUCUGGAAUUACUCUGAGAUCCG